rnacentral:rRNA from 1 species
UACGGAGGGUGCGAGCGUUGUCCGGAAUCACUGGGCGUAAAGGGCGCGUAGGCGGCCUGAUAAGUAGGGGGUGAAAUCCUGCGGCUUAACCGCAGGGCUGCCUUCUAAACUGUCAGGCUUGAGCACAGUAGAGGCAGGUGGAAUUCCCGGUGUAGCGGUGGAAUGCGUAGAGAUCGGGAAGAACAUCAGUGGCGAAGGCGGCCUGCUGGGCUGUUGCUGACGCUGAGGCGCGACAGCGUGGGGAGCAAACGGG